GAUCAUGGCUCAGGAUGAACGCUAGCUACAGGCUUAACACAUGCAAGUCGAGGGGCAGCAUGAAAGGAACUUCGGUUCUUUUUGAUGGCGACCGGCGCACGGGUGCGUAACGCGUAUCGAACCUGCCUCAUACUCGGGGAUAGCCUUGCGAAAGUAAGAUUAAUACCCGGCGGUCUCGGGAUGGCCGCAUGACUAUCCGAGUGAAGAUUUAUCGGUAUGAGAUGGCGAUGCCG
rnacentral:rRNA from 1 species